rnacentral:rRNA from 1 species
UACGUAGGGUGCGAGCGUUGUCCGGAAUUAUUGGGCGUAAAGAGCUCGUAGGCGGUGUGUCACGUCGGCCGUGAAAACCUGCAGCUUAACUGUGGGCGUGCGGUCGAUACGGGCACCACUGGAGUUCGGCAGGGGAGACUGGAAUUCCUGGUGUAGCGGUGAAAUGCGCAGAUAUCAGGAGGAACACCGGUGGCGAAGGCGGGUCUCUGGGCCGAUACUGACGCUGAGGAGCGAAAGCGUGGGGAGCAAACAGG